rnacentral:rRNA from 1 species
GACGAACGCUGGCGGCGUGCUUAACACAUGCAAGUCGAACGGAAAGGCCCCUUUGGGGGUACUCGAGUGGCGAACGGGUGAGUAACACGUGAGUAACCUGCCCUUGACUUCGGGAUAACUUCAGGAAACUGGGGCUAAUACCGGAUAGGAAUCCUUGCUGCAUGGUGGGGGUUGGAAAGCUUCGGCGGUUUUGGAUGGACUCGCGGCUUAUCAGCUUGUUGGUGGGGUAGUGGCUUACCAAGGCUUUGACGGGUAGCCGGCCUGAGAGGGCGACCGGCCACAUUGGGACUGAGAUACGGCACAGACUCCUACGGGAGGCAGCAGUGGAGAAUAGUGAACAAUGGGAGGAAGACUGAUACAGCAACGCCGCGUGCGGGAGGAAGGCCUUCGGGUUGUAAACCGCUUUCAGCAGGGGCGAAGCUUGUGGUGACGGUACCUUGAGAAGAAGCACCGGCUAACUACGUG